GACGAACGCUGGCGGCGUGCUUAACACAUGCAAGUCGAACGGAAAGGCCUGCUUUCCCUUGUGGAUUGCGGGUACUCGAGUGGCGAACGGGUGAGUAACACGUGAGUGAUCUGCCCCCAACUUGGGUUUAAGCCUGGGAAACUGGGUCUAAUUCCCGAUAGGACUGCAGGGUGGUGCCUGUGGUGGAAAACGAUUUUCUAGUGGUUGGGGAUGAGCUCGCGGCCUAUCAGCUUGUUGGUGGGGUAAUGGCCUACCAAGGCGGCGACGGGUAGCCGGCCUGAGAGGGUGGACGGCCACAUUGGGACUGAGAUACGGCCCAGACUCCUACGGGAGGCAGCAGUGGGGAAUAUUGCACAAUGGGCGGAAGCCUGAUGCAGCGACGCCGCGUGGGGGAUGACGGCCUUCGGGUUGUAAACUCCUUUCGACCGCGAGGAAGCCACCUGGUUGGAAGGGUGGUGACGGUAGUGGUAGAAGAAGCACCGGCUAACUACAUG
rnacentral:rRNA from 1 species